GUGCCCAUGCCCAUGUGUUGAGUUGUAUUCCUUCGGAGGUGGUGAUGUUAGAGUUGCUGGUGAGGUUGAAAGCUUAUCGAGUUUCCACUUAAGUAUGAAUUUUUGUCCCCUCAGAUCGUCUACUUCUAGCUCGGUCCUCAAUAUCCUUUGAUAUAGUUCACCCUUGCUCUCCUGCAGAAAAAGAGAAGGGAUAAAUAACACCUUGGGUUUUCUCCUUGUAUUUGGGAGGCUCGACUUCUUGAACUCCACAUGCAUAUCUUCAGGUUGAGGCAGGGGAAUCUCCUCUUCAUCCAAGCUUUCUUCCACAUACUUAUAUGUCUUCGUUCCUCCUCCGAGCACAAUCCAUAGGUAUUUACGUCCCCAUAGAGUUUGGGAUUGGCAAGAUAGUGUGAAACAUAGCUCUCCCCAUCGGAAUCUUGGGACGACAUCUUACUCUAAAUCUGCUGCAACAACAGCUCAAAACGAAAACAUGAGAUAUUGUCGAGAUACAGAGGUCAAAACCUUUGGGAGAUUAUAUAAUG
rnacentral:lncRNA from 1 species